GGGAGGACGGACGGGGUCAGGUCCCAUCAUGGCGGCUGAAGAGGCGGAUGUGGAUAUCGAAGGGGACGUGGUAGCGGCGGCGGGGGCACAGCCAGGAAGUGGUGAAAACACAGCAUCAGUUUUACAAAAAGAUCACUAUCUUGAUUCAUCUUGGAGAACAGAGAAUGGCCUUAUUCCUUGGACCUUGGAUAACACCAUCAGUGAAGAGAACAGAGCUGUUAUUGAGAAAAUGUUGUUGGAAGAAGAAUAUUAUUUAUCUAAAAAAUCACUACCGGAAAAAGUCUGGCUUGAUCAAAAGGAAGAUGAUAAAAAAUACAUGAAGAGGCUAAAUUUGGCCGAAGAUGGACCAAAAUUUCAAAGCUAAUUGGAAGCCGCACUGUUUUACAAGUGAAGAGUUAUGCAAGACAGUAUUUUAAAAAUAAGGUCAAAUGCGGUCUGGAUAAAGAAACACCAAAUCAGAAGACUGGCCAUAAUCUUCAAGUUAAAAAUGAAGAUAAAGGGACAAAGGCAUGGACACCAUCAUGUUUAAGGGGACGUGCUGAUCCCAACUUGAAUGCUGU
rnacentral:sRNA from 1 species